rfam:Monodelphis domestica cont3.067047, whole genome shotgun sequence.
AAACCCCGCCUGUUUACCAAAAACAUCACCUCUAGCAUUUCAAGUAUUAGAGGCACUGCCUGCCCAGUGAAUUAAUUUUAACGGCCGCGGUAUCCUGACCGUGCAAAGGUAGCAUAAUCACUUGUCUCCUAAAUAGAGACUUGUAUGAAUGGCAAAACGAGGGUUU